rnacentral:lncRNA from 1 species
CUACAGUUGAUGAGACAGGAAUUAAGGAUGCCAAUGAUAGGCCGGGCACAGUGGCUCAUGCCUGUAAUCCCAGAGCUUUGGGAGGCCAAGGCAGGCAGAUCACCUGAGGUCAGGAGUUUGAGAACAGCCUGGCCAACAUGGUGAAACUGCAUCUCUACUAAAAAUUCAAAAAAAAAAAAAAAGUAGGACGUGGUGGCGCAUGCUACUGGGGAGGCUGAGGCACGAGAAUCGCUGGAAGCUGGGUGGCAGAGGUUGGCAGUGAACCAGAAUUGUGCCAUUGUGUAUAUAAUUUUUAAUUUUAAAAAAUUUUUUGUUUUUGUUUUUUUGCUUUUUGUUGUAAUUUUUUUUGAGACAACGGAGUCUCGCUGUCACCCAGACUGGAGUGCAGUCGCACAAUCUCGGCUCAAUGCCACCUCCAGCUCCUGGGUUCAGCCUCCUGAGUAGCUGGGACUACAAGUGUGUAAUUUUUUUAGACGAGAUAUUGGAGUACAGAGGUCACACUUGCUGCCCAGAAUUUAGAAACAGACACUCACUGACUAGGAGUGUGACCCUUGGGCUGUUAUUCAG